rnacentral:rRNA from 1 species
AUUGAACGCUGGCGGAAUGCUUUACACAUGCAAGUCGAACGGCAGCACGGGUGCUUGCACCUGGUGGCGAGUGGCGAACGGGUGAGUAACAUAUCGGAACGUACCCAGUAAUGGGGGAUAACUAAGCGAAAGCUUAGCUAAUACCGCAUACGCCCUGAGGGGGAAAGCGGGGGACCGAAAGGCCUCGCGUUAUUGGAGCGGCCGAUAUCUGAUUAGCUAGUUGGUGGGGUAAAGGCCCACCAAGGCGACGAUCAGUAGCUGGUCUGAGAGGAUGAUCAGCCACACUGGAACUGAGACACGGUCCAGACUCCUACGGGAGGCAGCAGUGGGGAAUUUUGGACAAUGGGGGCAACCCUGAUCCAGCCAUUCCGCGUGAGUGAAGAAGGCCUUCGGGUUGUAAAGCUCUUUCGGCAGGGAAGAAACGCUCUGGGUUAAUAACCUGGGGUAAUGACGGUACCUGAAGAAGAAGCACCGGCUAACUACGUGCCAGCAGCCGCAGUAAAAC